rnacentral:rRNA from 1 species
UAACGGCCUACCAAGCCGAUGAUCCGUAGGGGGCGUGAGAGCGUGGCCCCCCACACUGGCACUGAGACACGGGCCAGACUCCUACGGGAGGCAGCAGUGAGGAAUAUUGCACAAUGGGCGCAAGCCUGAUGCAGCAACGCCGCGUGAGGGACGAAGGCCUUCGGGUUGUAAACCUCUUUUCUGAGGGACGAGGAAGGACGGUACCCCAGGAAUAAGUCUCGGCUAACUACGUGCCAGCAGCCGCGGUAAAACGUAGGAGGCGAGCGUUAUCCGGAUUUACUGGGCGUAAAGCGUACGCAGGUGGCUUCGUGAGUCGGACAUGAAAGCUCCCGGCUUAACUGGGAGAGGUUGUUCGAUACUGCGAGGCUUGAGGUUGGGAGAGGGACGUGGAAUUCCCGGUGUAGUGGUGGAAUGCGUAGAUAUCGGGAGGAACACCAGUGGCGCAAGCGGCGUCCUGGCCCACACCUGACGCUGAGGUACGAAAGCGUGGGUAGCAAACAGGAUUAGAUACCCUGGUAGUCCACGCUGUAAACGAUGUCAACUGGGUGUCGGUAGUUUUACACUAUCGGUGCCGAAGCCAACGCG